GUGUGACAUAUAGAAAACUAUAUUACCCUCAAUAUUUAAGAUUUGAUAUAAUUACAUUUAUUAUACCUAAUUACCAAUUCUACCAUAAGGUGUUUUAAGUGUAUAUUAAUUGUACCUUAUAUCACUCCUAGAUUUAUGGUACUGUAUAUUCCUCCAAAUCCCCAUCCCCCCACAUUUCUCUCUCCCAACCCCACACCAUCACCCACGU
rnacentral:lncRNA from 1 species